CCCUUAGACGUUCUGGGCCGCACGCGCGCUACACUGACCAGUGCAACAAGCAUCCGUCCUUGGCCGACAGGCCCGGGCAAUCUUUGAACGCUGGUCGUGAUGGGGAUAGACUUUUGCAAUUUUUGGUCUUCAACGAGGAAUGCCUAGUAAGCGCAAGUCAUCAGCUUGCGUUGAUUACGUCCCUGCCCUUUGUACACACCGCCCGUCGCUCCUACCGAUUGAAUGGUCCGGUGAAGCGUUCGGACCGUGGCCUUUGGACGGUUCGCCGUCUGUUGGCUGCGGGAAGUUCGUUAAACCUUAUCAUUUAGAGGAAGGAGAAGUCGUANCA
rnacentral:rRNA from 1 species